AGUGAACGCUGGCGGUAGGCCUAACACAUGCAAGUCGAACGGCAGCACAGUAAGAGCUUGCUCUUACGGGUGGCGAGUGGCGGACGGGUGAGGAAUACUUCGGAAUCUACUUUUUCGUGGGGGAUAACGUAGGGAAACUUACGCUAAUACCGCAUACGACCUACGGGUGAAAGCAGGGGAUCUUCGGACCUUGCGCGAUUGAAUGAGCCGAUGUCGGAUUAGCUAGUUGGCGGGGUAAAGGCCCACCAAGGCGACGAUCCGUAGCUGGUCUGAGAGGAUGAUCAGCCACACUGGAACUGAGACACGGUCCAGACUCCUACGGGGGGCAGCAGUGGGGAAUAUUGGACAAUGGGCGCAAGCCUGAUCCAGCCAUACCGCGUGGGUGAAGAAGGCCUUCGGGUUGUAAAGCCCUUUUGUUGGGAAAGAAAAGCAGCAGGUUAAUACCCCGCUGUUCUGACGGUACCCAAAGAAUAAGCACCGGCUAACUUCGUG
rnacentral:rRNA from 1 species